GCCGGCUUAGCUCAGUUGGUAGAGCAUCUGACUUUUAAUCAGAGGGUCGAAGGUUCGAGUCCUCUAGCCGGCACCA
rnacentral:tRNA from 1 species